rnacentral:rRNA from 1 species
UACGUAGGGUGCGAGCGUUGUCCGGAAUUAUUGGGCGUAAAGAGCUCGUAGGCGGCUUGUCGCGUCGGAUGUGAAAGCCCGGGGCUUAACUCCGGGUCUGCAUUCGAUACGGGCAGGCUAGAGUUCGGUAGGGGAGAUCGGAAUUCCUGGUGUAGCGGUGAAAUGCGCAGAUAUCGGGAGGAACACCGGUGGCGAAGGCGGUUCUCUGGGCUUUACCUGACGCUGAGGAGCGAAAGCGUGGGGAGCGAACAGG